rnacentral:rRNA from 1 species
AUACGGAGGGUGCAAGCGUUAUUCGGAAUCACUGGGCGUAAAGGACGCGUAGGCGGGUUGGCAAGUCAGAUGUGAAAUCCUACAGCUUAACUGUAGAACUGCAUUUGAAACUGCUAACCUAGAGUAUGGGAGGGGGAGAUGGAAUUAGUGGUGUAGGGGUAAAAUCCGUAGAUAUCACUAGGAAUACCGAAAGCGAAGGCGAUCUCCUGGAACAUAACUGACGCUAAGGCGUGAAAGCGUGGGGAGCAAACAGGAUUAGAAACCCUAGUAGUCCC